rnacentral:rRNA from 1 species
GAUGAACGCUAGCUACAGGCUUAACACAUGCAAGUCGAGGGGAAACGAUGAGAGAGCUUGCUCUCUUAGGCGUCGACCGGCGCACGGGUGAGUAACGCGUAUCCAACCUACCCAUUACAGGGGGAUAACCUUGCGAAAGUAAGACUAAUACCCCAUGGCAUUUUAUGGUGGCAUCAUUAUAGGAUUAAAGAUUUAUUGGUAAUGGAUGGGGAUGCGUCUGAUUAGCUUGUUGGCGGGGUAACGGCCCACCAAGGCAACGAUCAGUAGGGGUUCUGAGAGGAAGGUCCCCCACAGUGGAACUGAGACACGGUCCAAACUCCUACGGGAGGCAGCAGUGAGGAAUAUUGGUCAAUGGGCGAGAGCUUGAACCAGCCAAGUAGCGUGCAGGAUGACGGCACUAUGGGUUGUAAACUGCUUUUAUAGGGGAAUAAAGUGAGCUACGUGUAGUUUAUUGCAUGUACCCUAUGAAUAAGGACCGGCUAAUUCCGUG